UUUGAACGCUGGCGGCAGGCUUAACACAUGCAAGUCGAGCGGGGAAAGGCAGCUUGCUACCUGACCUAGAGGCGGACGGGUGAGUAAUGCUUAGGAAUCUGCCCAUUAGUGGGGGACAACGUUCCGACAGGAAGGCUAAUACCGCAUUCGUGCUAUGGGGGAAAGCAGGGGAGCUGCGGACCUUGCGCUAAUAGAUGAUCCUAAGUCGUAUUAGCUAGUCGGUGGGGUAAAGGCCUACCAAGGCGACGAUCUGUAGCGGGUCUGAGAGGAUGAUCCGCCACACUGGGACUGAGACACGGCCCAGACUCCUACGGGAGGCAGCAGUGGGGAAUAUUGGACAAUGGGCGGAAGCCUGAUCCAGCCAUGCCGCGUGUGUGAAGUAGGCCUUUUGGUUGUAAAGCACUUUAAGCGAGGAGGAGGCUCCUUUAGUUAAUACCUAAAGAGAGUGGACGUUACUCGCAGAAUAAGCACCGGCUAACUCUGUGCCAGCAGCCGCCGUAACAC
rnacentral:rRNA from 1 species